rnacentral:sRNA from 1 species
UUCCCCUGGUGCCAUUUAUUUAUAGCACAGUAGUUAGAAAAUAAAUGGUGGGAACGCCACCACAAAUUCUGAAUAGUUAUCACCAACUCUAUAUUUAAUAGCAAUGGUUACAUUUCUUGCUGUAUUUAAUUUCUAUUGUCAGGCAUCCUAAGGCAAAUAAUAAAUAGUUUAAUGUUUGGAAAAAAUAGCUACUCCCAUUGACUAUUCUUGUCUUAAUCUAGAUAGCGUCUAGAUACCUGAAUGGAAAAGGAACAAAUUCUACCAUCCAUUGUUCUUUUCAAAAGGACCUGUGUUUGGAUGACUUAACAGACUAUCAAGUGACUUUGUCAGUUUCUAUUUAAACUUAGCACUGGGUGGUAAGCUUUGGUUGUUUAACAGGAGGAAGUAGUGAGUUCUAAUUUUCACCACCAGGUGGCAGGAGAGUACUGAAAGUAUGAAAUAGGCUCUAAUGAAAGGGUGCCUGUGAAACAUGUAUUUAUGAGAAGAAAAACAUUCUGAAGCAAGAAAUAAGAAAAUUAUAGAAGGAGUCAACUAAAAUCUAGUAAUCUUUGUGGCUCUGCAUCACAUUAAUUUUAGCUUUUCUAUAGUUGGUACAUUUCUUGCAAAUUUUGCCUUCAAACUAAAUAUGUAGUUUAUAAAGCAGGGAAAAAAAAAGGAGGUGGGGGACAACAACUGUUAACGGAGGGAAAUAAUCCUGUAUUUUAUUUUCAAAGAUAACAUGGAAUCUUAAGCAUUUGGCGUUGGUAGUGUUUUCUCAGGUUGACUGGCUGGCUGGCAGGAAAGUAAUUAUUUCCAAGACUGUAAAAAAGUAGAGAAGAGAUCCAUCCAAAUGCUUGUUUAUGCUUGGGUAUGUGUAUAGUAGACUUAUUUGAAGAGGUAAAUAUUUAAACCAUUCCUCUAGUUUUGCUUCCUGAGCCUUUUAUCAGCAGAGAAAAAUCAGGCAAGUCUACUUUUCAUCAAGUCUGACUCAAGAUUUUAUUUGGGAGACAUUUCCUAUUACAUUCACCAGAGUCACGUACCUCUUCUUUCACAGGCACCAGAAUCCUCUGGAGAAGUUGUGCAAACACAGGCAGGUGGGCCCCAGCAUUAGACUUUCUGAUUCCAUAGGUUUGGAGGAUGAGCUGAGAUACAGACUUCAAGUAAACUCAAAGCUCAUUUUCCAGUCAAACCAUCACUUGCUCAAGUUGGAAUUCCUUUUUGCUGGUAACACUCACUCAGCUAAAUUGGUUGGCAUACUUAGCCUAAGGAAGAAGCUUCAUGCAUAUGAGCUGGACAAUCCUGGAUGGACAUCACGACCCUUCUAGCAAAUUUCUGAAAAGCAUGUUUAUCCUAGAUCCUAGAUGGUUUGUAUGUAGUCCCAGGUGAUUCCAAUGUAUGGUCUGCAGUUUUAGCUUGAGUAAUCAUUCAUUCCCCAUGAUUAGAUAUGGUCUGAACUUGCUGGAUAUUCUCUUAACAUAAAGUAUAAGUCUAGGAUUCAAAGGGCCAUUUGGCACCACGACGGUUGUAGAGAGCCACAAUAAUA